AUGAGGGGCUUCAGUGUGGUCACUUGCACCUACUCCAGUGAAGAAACACAUCGUCGUGGUCAUCUGACUCACGAGGAGUCCCGACCACGUCGUGCCCGGGGCCGAUGGGGCGGCCGGCACCUAUCCGCAGUCCGAACGAACGGGCAUACUUCAGUGACGCUUUCGCCAUCUUCACGAUCUUUUGACAAAUACGCUGCCUCUGUUUCCCUGAAACUUAUACAUUUUCCUGAAAAUCGACUGGGCGUGGUUCAAAACCUUGAAGUGGUUAGCGUGCCUCUCAACUGUCCUUAUACAUGGACAGUGACCGAUGGAUGUAAAUCAAGAAGAUGCUUGAUUGACAUCGAAUUUAUCAAAAUGACUAGGCGUGGCAAACCGGAGUCUGUUUUGCGCUCUAGGGAGAUGAGGACGUUGGUGGAGCAAGCACAGUCUGGUUUUGCGCGUAUGCUGCGAGAAGGCAUCCUCACAGACAUCACCAUCAACGCCAUUGGUGGCAGCAUCAAGGCCCACCGCGCCGUCUUGGCCGCGCGGUCACCGGUGUUCUUGAGGAUGUUCUCACACAACCUCAGGGAGAAGAAGCUCUCCAAGGUGGACAUCUCCGACAUGUCCAUCGACGCGUGUCAGACCUUGGUCGGCUACCUCUACGGUGUCAUCGCGUCGGAGGACGAGCUGCUCGUGCACCGGGGCGAGCUGCUCGCCGCGAGUGACAAGUAUGGCAUCGCGGACCUCAAGAAGGCGUGUGAGGAGAGCCUUAGGAGGGACGUGAGCACGAAGAACGUGUUGGAGAGGUUGCAGGCGGCACACACCUACGGCCUGCCGGCGCUCAGGAGGACCUGGGUGAGGCUGCUUGUGGACUUCGGGAAGAUGUACGAGAUUCCUGAGGAUUUUGAGGAGUUCAUGGACGCCGCGGACCAGGAUCUCAUCGACGACAUCCGUUCGACUGCAACUCUCAGUGGGAGAAAACUUCCGGCCAGAGAGAAGAAGACUGCAACUAAAUUGACUCGGCGCCGCAGCUUCUAG
rnacentral:rRNA from 1 species